AACGCUAGCGGCAGGCCUAACACAUGCAAGUCGAGGGGUAACAGAGAGAAGCUUGCUUUUCUGCUGACGACCGGCGCACGGGUGCGUAACGCGUAUACAAUCUGCCUUAUACAGAGGGAUAGCCUUUAGAAAUGAAGAUUAAUACCUUAUAGUCUAUUUUUAUAGCAUUAUAUAAAUAGUAAAGCUUCGGUGGUAUAAGAUGAGUAUGCGUCCUAUUAGUUAGUUGGUAAGGUAACGGCUUACCAAGACAACGAUAGGUAGGGGCCCUGAGAGGGGGAUCCCCCACACUGGUACUGAGACACGGACCAGACUCCUACGGGAGGCAGCAGUGAGGAAUAUUGGACAAUGGAGGCAACUCUGAUCCAGCCAUGCCGCGUGCAGGAUGACGGCCCUAUGGGUUGUAAACUGCUUUUAUAUAGGAAGAAACCUUUUCACGUGUGAGAAGCUGACGGUACUAUAAGAAUAAGGACCGGCUAA
rnacentral:rRNA from 1 species